rnacentral:sRNA from 1 species
GGCUGAAAUCUCCUGAGGGGCCCACCUCGGCAUGGACCUGCCAGCUACCGGAGCCUUCCGCCUCCACCUGUCCCCUCCUACAGAGGCCAGCACUGUGACACAUGGUCUUAUGUGCUGAUACCGGCAGCCCAGCACGGGCAGUUCACUGUGGACCACGGUGUGGACACACGAGCAGGCUGGCCGUCCUCAGGAUCAGCCUGCUUGGCAGGAGCUGGUUGCUGCCUCCCGGGACGCUGGACCAGUUCAUCUGCCUGGGCAGAGCUCAGGGCCUCUCGGAUGACAACAUUGUCUUCCCAGAUGUGACUGGAGGUGCCCUGGACCUCAGCAGCCUGCCCUGGGUGGCAGCCCCAGCCUGACCACUCAGACAGCCGCGGCCCCCAAGGCCUGACUCUUCUUGUGGGAGGGCGAGGCUGGUCACCCCAGGCCAGCGUCUGUUGAAGGAUGAAGCAGCUCCUGUCCGGCCCAGCCCUGCCUCACAGCUGCGCGAGCUCUGCCCUCCUCAGCUCUCAAACCUGAAUAAAUGCACCAAGCCCAGA